GACGAACGCUGGCGGCGUGCCUAACACAUGCAAGUCGAGCGGGGUUGAAGCGAGGGGUAACUCGAGUUUCUACCUAGCGGCGGACGGGUGAGUAACGCGUGGGCAACCUGCCUCAAGGACUGGGAUAACAGCUCGAAAGGGCUGCUAAUACCGGAUAAGCCUAUGGCCUCGCAUGGGGCCAUGAGCAAAGGGGAAACCCGCCUUGAGAUGGGCCCGCGUCCCAUCAGCUAGUUGGUGAGGUGAAGGCUCACCAAGGCGACGACGGGUAGCCGGCCUGAGAGGGUGACCGGCCACACUGGGACUGAGACACGGCCCAGACUCCUACGGGGGGCAGCAGUGGGGAAUCUUGCACAAUGGGCGAAAGCCUGAUGCAGCGACGCCGCGUGAGCGAAGAAGGCCUUCGGGUUGUAAAGCUCUGUCUGGAGGGACGAGGAAGUGACGGUACCUCCGGAGGAAGCCAACGGCGUAACUACGUGCCAGCAGCCGCGGUAAACCACGAGAGUA
rnacentral:rRNA from 1 species